CAUGCUUAUUAUAGGGUUAACCCCUCACUAGCAUGUUGAAGCUAUCCUCACAUGGCGGAUUUGUGGUUUUAGGUUGAGUUUUCUCCCUUGGAUAACAAAAGACCUUAAGGCUUUUGGACUUCUUCCAUGCUUAUUAUAGGGUUAACCCCUCACUAGCAUGUUGAAGCUAUCCUCACAUGGCGGAUUUGUGGUUUUAGGUUGAGUUUUCUCCCUUGGAUAACAAAAGACCUUAAGGCUUUUGG
rnacentral:lncRNA from 1 species